rnacentral:lncRNA from 1 species
CUGCCACCUGCUCUGUAUUAAUGCAUAAUUCCUUAUGUCAUUUCUGGAACUCUUCCAACAGUUAUGGGUCACAAUGACAAUAUGCCACUCCAUUGGCUGAGCACUUGUUUGCAACAAUGAGCUACACAUGUUGGCCAAUACUGCCACAAUUUAACGCUUCUGUUCCUCUUGUCACAUCUGAAUGGGUGGCAUCUGGUCCAAAUUUUGGGUCCCUUUGAGGAUGCGUGAUAGGUAACUCUCAUCUGGAUAGCAGAGACACUUGACCAGCCAAUUACGUAUUCUGGAAUCCAGGAAGUUUAUGUAGGGAGCUUAAACGGAAGAUGCGUCUGAGAAACUCCCAUCAAGAGCACAUCCCAGCUUUUCAACGAUUGUAUAAGCCAGCGUUUGUUAAGUGCUUCCUCUGUCCCAGGCACUCUUUCAAGUGUUUUACGUGUAGUAACUCUUUUCAUAUAUGACCAUCUUAUGAAAUGGGAUCCCAUGGUAACGACCAGAGGGUACAGGAGAGUGAAAUGUUGACACUGGAUUGGAAAGUUUGCCGAGUAAGGCCUGGUAUCAAAAGAAAGCCAGAAUCGGAAAACCUCCAUCAGCUCACUCAGUCUCCUCUUAGCGUUCACUCCCCUGACUGCAGGAGAUGCACUAGACCCUUUCAAUGAAGUCAUGGAAUCUCUGACAGAUUUUUCCAACCACUCUGUCAUUUCCUUCAGCAACAAGAUGAUUCUCAAAGCUGGAUACAGCAGGAAGGCGGUUGUCUGCAAGCCGGG